GGGUACUGAAGGCAGACCCGGGGAACUGAAACAUCUAAGUACCCGGAGGAAGAGAAAGCAACAUGCGAUUUCCCAAGUAGCGGCGAGCGAAACGGAAUUAGCCCAAACCAAGAGGCUUGCCUCUUGGGGUUGUAGGACACUCAACAUGGAGUUACAAAGGAACGGGGUAGAUGAAGAGAUCUGGAAAGAUCCGUCAGAGAAGGUAAAAACCCUGUAGUCGAAACUCCGUUCCCUCCUGAGUGGAUCCUGAGUACGGCGGGACACGAGAAAUCCCGUCGGAAGCAGGGAGGACCAUCUCCCAAGGCUAAAUACUCCCUAGUGACCGAUAG
rnacentral:rRNA from 1 species